rnacentral:rRNA from 1 species
AAACUUUCAACAACGGAUCUCUUGGCUCUGGCAUGGAUGAAGAAGGCAGUGAAAUGCGAUAAGUAAUCUGAACUGCAGAAUUCAGUGAAUCAUCGAAUCUUUGAACGCACAUUGCGCCCGCCAGUAUUUUGGCGGGCAUGCCUGUUCGAGCGUCAUUA